GCAAAGGUGAUCGUCGCAACCAGCAUUAACCCCAAGUUUGUUGGAGGUAACAUUCGGUGUGGCAAAGGUCGACUAUACCUGGAUGCUACUUCUGGGAUCUAUUUUUACUUUGACCAUGAGGUGGCCGCAAGCCAGAGACUAUUUCAAGAGUUGUAUUCAAAACCCGAGAAGGACGACACUACCAGUGCGAAGCAGUACCAUGGUGUAAAGAAGCUCGAAAAGGUUUCACUAGGAGAGUUGAACAACUAUAUUCUGGAGUCACCCCCGCAAGCCCUUGAGUUUCUAUGCAAAGCCAAGAUCGCAUCACUGGAAACUACAAACGGAUGGUGAUACAUCUCCUGUGCUAAAUGCAAGAAGCUCCAGCGAGGGAACUCUUCAUUCACAUGCCCUACAUGUUUUAAUGCCAGUGUUGUUGGAGUUGUCAGGUUCGGUUCACAUAUCUAUAUUAAACUUGCUCAUUAGAAACAGCCUUUUGUUAUUUGUGCCAACUAUUUGGAAAAAAAAAACACAAUCGCAAGGUAUCGUGUUGAGCUGCUGGUGGAGGCGGGUGAUGAUAAAUCUCUCUUUGUAGCAUUCGACUCAGCUAUGACUAAGCUAACAGGAAUCAGGGCUACAGAAGUUGUGAUGGAGUGAUUGAAGCUUCAAGUUAUGUACAAGCUCCAUCAAUUUGACAUAUCUUGAUUAAAACAAAACACAAAAUCGUAGAUUGGAUUAGUGAAAGUUUUAUCUUCACUUACCAUUGUUCCUUAGAUUUCUUAUACUAACUUUUUGUUUUUCAUAUGAAAGAAAGCUGAGAUCUCGCAUUUUAUGAA